UACGGAGGGUGCGAGCGUUAAUCGGAAUUACUGGGCGUAAAGGGUGCGCAGGUGGUUUUUCAAGUCAUUCGUAGAAUCCCCGGGCUUAACCUGGGAAUGCCGGAUGAUACUGUGAGACUUGAGUACGGGAGAGGGCAGUGGAAUUUCCGGUGUAGCGGUGAAAUGCGUAGAUAUCGGAAGGAACACCGGUGGCGAAGGCGGCUGCCUGGCCUGAUACUGACACUGAGGCACGAAAGCGUGGGGAGCAAACAGG
rnacentral:rRNA from 1 species